GGAGGCGGCUCCCCCCCCCCGUGCUGGGAGAGAUGGUGCGUCCCGCUCGGCCGCGGUCACGUGGGCGCCUCCUCUGUGACGUCGGGCGCUUCAAUGUAGCGAAGCUCGGCCUCUGGAAUUCUGAGAACUAAUUUGCUAUUCGGUGACAUAAGAGGGGGGGAGCGCGCGCCGCCUGCCCGGGGUCCGGGGCUCCUUCCCCGUCUCGCGCCCGUAAACACCACCACCACCACCACCACCUCCACGAGCUCAGGGCACCAAACGGGGGGCAGGGGCUCUGGGUGCCCGGAGGAAGCCCGCCUGCCCAGAUGUAGGUUAGGCAGCUCGAGCCAAACAAUAAACACGCAUCCGGGGCACGGGGAGAGAGGACACAGCAGAGAGGGGAGAGCUUUCCAGCUAGAAUCUCAGCACACUGGCCAAGCCGAGUUUGGAGGGAAGAGGUUUCCCAAGACACCACAGGCCAUGAGGAAAUGAGACUGAGACAAAAGGGCCCUGGAAAGAGUCUGGAAUAUCAAAACGCCCUCUCCAGUGACCAGGUCAGCGUGGCUGGAGGUUUCUGAUGGAAGAUGCCAGAGAUGAGGAAACUGAGGCUCAGAGGACAGAAGCAGAAUCAUUGGAUCAUCUGCCCUCUCAUCAUCUUCCUCACCUCCAACUCAUAGAAUUCCUAGGUCAGCUUAGAUGCCACCUUCAAGAAGAAAGCCACUAUGGAUUCCCCAUUGUGGCUGGUGCCCUCCCCAAAACUUUGCUUCACAAACAUUUUGCAUUUCAUUUUCUUUGUAAGUGUUGUUUCCCUCAACAAAAUAAGCUUCUUGCCCACACGUACAAAAAUAUUUGUAGCAGCUCUUUCUGUGGUGGCAAAGAAUUGGAAAUUGAGGCAAUACCCAUCAAUUGGGGAAUGGCUGAACAAGUUGUGGUAUAUGAGUGUGAUGGAAUACUACUGGGCUAUAAGAAAUGAUGAGCAGGCAGAUUUCAGAAAAACCUGGAAUGACUUGUAUGGACUGAUGCAGCGUGAAGUGGGCAGAACCAGGAGAAUGUUGUACACAGUAAUAGCCACGUUGUUCAAUGACUAACGUUGAUAGACUUAGCACUUCUCAGCAAUGCAAGGAUCUAAGACAUCUCCAAAGUCUCAUGAUGGAAAACGCUAUCCACAUCCAGAUAAAGAACUGUGGAGUUUGAAUGUAAAUUGAAGCAUACUAUUUGCUCUUUUUUUUCCUUCCGUUUUGUUUUGUUUCCUCUUUCUUAUGGUUCCUCCUAUUGGUUCUGAUUCUUCUUUACAACAUCACUAAUGUGAAAAUAUGUUUAAUAAGAAUGUAUACAUGGAGCCUGUAUCAGAUUACAUGCCAUCUUGG
rnacentral:lncRNA from 1 species